GCAGGUCCAUCUGCAGGGGAUAGACCUAGCCAUAGAAGAGGCCAAGAUUGAGGAGGAAGAAUUUGGGGUGACCUGGGACGCCAUGGGAAAGGGCCAGUUUAUUUGCAGCUGUCGAAUAAAUUUGAGAAAGCAGCAAGUACAGCGAAACAGAACUACACACAGGACAACAGGACCCAAGGGAUCAUGGAGAAGAGCCAGUGGGACUUGAAGAAAGUCAGGCUCCAGGGCAGGCGCUUCAAGAGGAUGGACGAUUUUGUGGCCAUGCAUAAAGUCAGCACCAAUGCCCUGCUAAGGGAAUAUGCUAACUCACUGAAGGAAAGGAGGAAGCAGAAGAGACAUCAGGUGGAAACUGAGAAAUGGAAACACAGAAGCCAAAGGAAACGGGGAGUGUACGUGGCACCAAGGAAGAAGGCAUUUACCUUUCAGACAACAAAGAAUGCUGAACCUUUGAGCAAUGCUGACUGCCCAUCUGAAAGCCGCCCAUCCUCAGCCCUCUGCCCUGUGAACGUCCUUCACCUGUCUUCACCUGAACAUGCAAGUGUUCAGGUGAAUGCUGAUAGGCCAGGUGAAAGCCACUUGUCCUCAUCUGACCUGCACGACCAACAGUUAACCUUACUGUGGAGAAAGAGGUCGACAGAGGUGGUUGUUGCGGUACUGCCAUCUCAAAUUAAGGGUCGGAGCAUCUAUGUACACCACUCAGAGCUGCGUUCACUACGGCCACACCUGUGGUUGACAGGAGAGAUAAUUCAUGGAUUGAUGCAUCUCAGUGCCUACACACACAAUGUGGUAGACACCAUCUACCUGAUGGACCAUUACACGGCAGGUGUGAUUUUGUCUGGUGACAGGGCCACAGUACGCCGUCAAAGCUUACCUAAGGUAAACUUUGAAAACUAUGAAGCGAUGCUGUCAUUCAUCCAUGUGAAUGGGAAUCAUUGGAACAUGCUGUACAUUCAUGCAAAGUCUGGCACAGUCUUCCAAUUGGAUCCAUCACCAGCAUCCUCUGAGCUUGAGGACUCUGCACAUGCCGCCACGAAAAUACAGGAAUACUUCAAGAUGAGGAGAACAUCACAUGGGAAAACGGACUGGGUUGAUGUUCAGUGGAAAGGAGGAGUAAUGCCCCACCCAGUGCAAAGGGAUGGUUGCAGUUGUGGCGUUAUUGUUGUUGAAAUGGCCAGAGCAGUAAUGGGAGCCUUCCCUCAGUUGCCCCAAAUGCAAUUUGAAACCACCAGGAAAGCCAUGGGAGAAUCUAGGAGGAAUAUGGGUCUCCAAGUCCUUGAGGCAUCAGUCUUUGAUGAAGAGACAUGUGCAAUGUGUGGAGCUGACAGGCCCCCUGGAGAAGCAACUGCCAACACAAACUGGAUCCAGUGUGAUAAAUGUGACCGGUGGUUCCAUGCCGUCUGUUUAACCAUGGACCCCAGGACACUUCAAGAGCUGAAGCAAAAGCAAUGGCUGUGUGUGCUGUGCAAAUAAAUAUUUUA
ensembl:lncRNA